rnacentral:rRNA from 1 species
UGCGUAGGCGGGUCAAUAAGUCAGUGGUGAAAUCUCACAGCUUAACUGUGAAACUGCCAUUGAUACUGUUGGUCUUGAAUUCAGUUGAAGUGGGCGGAAUAUAGCAUGUAGCGGUGAAAUGCUUAGAGAUGCUAUAGAACACCAAUCGCGAAGGCAGCUCACUAAACUUGGAUUGACGCUGAGGCACGAAAGCGUGGGGAGCAAACAGGAUUAGAUACCCUGGUAGUCC